CUUGGGGGGUUGUUGCUGGUCCUUCUCUGAUGAGGGGGGCAAUUUGUGCACACCCUCUAUCUAUUUCCCUUCACACCCCCUUGUGCAUCUUGUGUAGGUUGACGCAAAGUCCAAUCUAUGUUUUUAUUUAUACCUUUGUUUUGAAUGGGAAUGUAAUUUUUUAAACCCUCAGUAAGCUCUCAUUUGGAGCUGAAAAGGAAAUAAAUAUGUAUACAACUUUCAACAACGGAUCUCUUGGCUCUCGCAUCGAUGAAGAACGCAGCGAAAUGCGAUAAGUAAUGUGAAUUGCAGAAUUCAGUGAAUCAUCGAAUCUUUGAACGCAUCUUGCGCUCCUUGGUAUUCCGAGGAGCAUGCCUGUUUGAGUGUCGUGAAGUUCUCAAACCCCUUUUCUUUAAGGAGGUUUGGAAUUUGGAGGUGUGUGCUUUUUUGUGAAGCUCCUCUAAAAUGUAUCAGUAAAAAACCCUGUCCCCCUCAAGAUGGUGUAAAGCUUGGUUUUGAUAAUGUUCUUUAUCUUUAUAAGCUAUAGCAAUUGCCUAAAGAGGUGGGGUUUCUUUGAAAAAAGAAUUGACACUUUUGACCUCAAAUCAGGUAGGACUACCCGCUGAACUUAAGCAUAUCAAUAAGCGGAGGAAAAGAAACUAACAAGGAUUCCCCUAGUAACUGCGAGUGAAGCGGGAAAAGCUCAAAUUUAAAAUCUGGUGGUCUCUGUGGCCAUCCGAGUUGUAAUCUAGAGAAGUGUGUUCAGUCCUGGACCGGNGUACAA
rnacentral:rRNA from 1 species